CUUUCAAAAUUAAAGUUUUAAUUUUAAAUUCUAAAUUUUAAUUUGAUAUUUGAUAUUUUUUUAAUUUUAAAAUUUUAAAUUUAAAUUUAUUUUUAAAUUUUAAAUUUUAAAAUUUAAAAUUUAAAAAUUGAAUUUAAAAUUUUUGAGUUUAAUUUUAAAUUUUAAUUUCAAAUUUUAAAAUUAAAAAAAUUUAAAAUAUUAAAAUUAAAAAUAAAAUUUAAAUUCAAAUAUAACGAGAGGGAUAAUAUCAUUUUUCUAUUUAUAACUACCCACUAUUCAUCUUAUUCUAUCUUAUCUAUUUACACGCUAAUUUUUCUUAUUACCGGAAACAAUUAAAUUUUCAUCCAAACGCAAAAUUGAUUUAAUUCUUACUUAUAUCUGAACUUAUACCCAUCCCUGAAAUAAGCAGUUCUUACUUAUAUAUUUGAAUCAAAUAAAGCCUACAAUAUUAGAGGAGAGUCCGGCCCCACUUUUUUCCGGAGAGCGCUUGAAUUUUACUAGAAUUUAUAAUAUUUUAUAGAUUUUAUAUUAUAUAUAUCUAUUAUUUUUCAAAAACUUAAUUUACUAGAAAAUGAUUUUUUUAAUAUUUAUAUUCGUCACUUUCUGUUAUGUCUGCACUCAAAAAUAUUUAGUUGAAUCCAAACGUAUAAUUGAAUGAAAUAAAAGAGAAUUAAAUAAUACUAGAAGUCUGGCAGAACUCAAAUUUAUAAUUUUUUAUUUUACUACUAUGUUAAAUUAUGAAAAACGGCUAUUAUUC
rnacentral:lncRNA from 1 species